rfam:Oryza glaberrima chromosome 12 Oglab12_0209_37, whole genome shotgun sequence.
AAUAAAUGCAGCUAUAAGUUUCCGCGCUCAACUUUGACCGUCUGUCUUAUUUAAAAUAUUUUUAUAAUUACUAUUUUUGUUGUUAUAAGAGGAUAAAACAUGAAUAGAACUUUACUCGUGACUUAUGUUUUAAUUAUUUUUAAAAAAUUUUCUAUAUAAGAAGAAUGAUCAAAAUUAAACGUGAAAAACUAUUGUUGCAAUUAUU